UACGGGGGGGGUAAGCGUUGUUCGGAAUUACUGGGCGUAAAGGGCUCGUAGGCGGCCAACUAAGUCGGACGUGAAAUCCCUCAGCUUAACUGGGGAACUGCGUCCGAUACUGGAUGGCUUGGAUUUGGGAGAGGGAUGCGGAAUUCCAGGUGUAGCGGUGAAAUACGUAGAGAUUGGGAAGAACACCAGUGGCGAAGGCGGCUAUCUGGACGGUUUCUGACGCUAAGACGCGAAAGCGUGGGGAGCAAACAGG
rnacentral:rRNA from 1 species